rnacentral:rRNA from 1 species
GGGCCCGCACAAGCAGCGGAGCAUGUGGUUUAAUUCGAAGCAACGCGAAGAACCUUACCAGGGCUUGACAUCCUCUGACAGCCAUAGAAAUAUGGUUUCCCUUCGGGGCAGAGAGACAGGUGGUGCAUGGUUGUCGUCAGCUCGUGUCGUGAGAUGUUGGGUUAAGUCCCGCAACGAGCGCAACCCCUACCCUUAGUUACCAGCGCGUAAAGGCGGGCACUCUAUGGGGACCGCCGAGGACAACUCGGAGGAAGGUGGGGACGACGUCAAAUCAUCAUGCCCCUUAUGUCCUGGGCUACACACGUGCUACAAUGGCCGCAACAAAGGGAAGCGACAACGCAAGUUGAAGCGGAUCUCAAAAAAGCGGUCCCAGUUCGGAUCGUGGGCUGCAACCCGCCCACGUGAAGUCGGAGUUGCUAGUAAUCGCGAAUCAGCAUGUCGCGGUGAAUACGUUCCCGGGCCUU